rnacentral:rRNA from 1 species
GUAUGAGGUCUGGCCUGCCCACUGAAUAGAUUUUAAAGGGCCGCGGUAUACUAACCGUGCGAAGGUAGCAUAGUCAAUAGUCUUUUAAUUGGAGGCUUGAAUGAAUGGUCGGACAUGAAGAAAACUGUCUUAACUUGAUAGGGCGAAUUUAACUUUUGUGUGAAAAGGCAUUAAUGGUUCGGGGGGACGAUAAGACCCUAUAAAACUUGACAUUUAUAUUUAUUAGGGACUUGAUUUGGGUUUAAAGGGGGCCUAGGGGUGUAUGUUAUGCUGGGGCGGCAAGAAUAAAAUUUGUAACUGUUCUUAGUGAUUAAAUAGUGAUAAUUAGAUAUUGACCCUGAAUUUCGGGUUAGAAGUUUAAGUUACUUUAGGGAUAACAGCGUUAUUUUCCUUGAGAGUUCAUAUCGACAGGAGUAUUUGCGACCUCGAUGUUGAAUUAAAGCUUCCCCUAGGAGUAGAAAUUUAGGUGGUAGGUCUGUUCGACCUUUAAAGUUUUACAUGAUUUGAGUUCAAACCGGUGUGAGCCAGGUUG